rnacentral:sRNA from 1 species
ACAAAGAUGUAUGCAGUGUUUGUGUGUGUCGGAGUUUUUGUCUUUGCUAACGGUUGCGUUAAUGUCGCCUUCAACAAACCAGCAUACCAACAAUACACAUGGGACGCCAGUAGCGCUGUAGACGGACGUAAAUCAGACCUGAGUGGUAUUGGAGGUCAAUGUGCUGUAUCACACUAUUGGGGACAAACGGCCACCUGGUGGGUGAACCUGACCACCAUCCACAGCAUACACCACAUCACCAUCUACUUUAGGACGGACAAUGAACCAUGGGGACCUUCUAAUAGGCUCACUAAGUAUUUCCUUGGAUUCUCUGUGUACGUCUCCAAUACAACAGACAGACUACAGGGAACACUGUGUUACAAGGACGACAACUUUACACUAGACACCAUACCUGCUGUCUUCACCACCACCUGUCCUGUACAUGGACAGUACGUCAUCUACUACAACGAGAGACAACCAGGAGUUACCGACCCUGACGGUUACCCUGAUCGUGUUGCAAGGGACCUUUGUGAGCUGGAGGUGUAUGGUUGUCCUUCUACCGGAUAUUUUGGGCCAAACUGUUCCGUUCCCUGUUCAGACGUAAACUGUCAGUACUGUCACAUAGAGACGGGCACCUGUCAGGGCUGUAAACCUGGAUACCAAGGUCACCGAUGUGAACUAGCUUGCGACGAAGGAUUUUUUGGAACCGAAUGCAAAGAGACAUGUGGACACUGCCGCGAUGUUAGCCAUUGUUCCAAUAUCAAUGGGACAUGUUUGACUGGAUGUGAUGUUGGUUAUCAAGGGGACUUGUGUAAAACUCCAUGUGACAGAGGGUUGUAUGGUUUUGAAUGCAGUGAAACAUGUGGACACUGUCUUGACCUAAACCAGUGUUCCAAUAUCAAUGGAACAUGUUUGACUGGAUGUGAUGCUGGUUAUCAAGGGGACUUGUGUAAAACUCCUUGUGAUAAAGGAAAGUAUGGAUCCGAAUGCAAUGAAACAUGUGGACACUGUCGUGAUGUAAAACAGUGUUCCAAUAUCAAUGGAACAUGUUUGACUGGAUGUGACCCCGAUUAUCAAGGGGACUUGUGUAAAACUCUCCUGCUCUCCGUCCAGACGUUUACUUUUACCACUGUUAAAUGGAGACAAGCACCUGUUUGUACUUUAACCACUGGCCACACUUAACUUAUAUCAGCCAAACGUAAAGCACAAAAGUACACCUUUCUGGGGGACAUCCUCCAUCACAUGUCCCCUCAGCAGUACGGAUAGGCGAGCCUCACCAAUGACGAGAGUGCACACGAACUUUGAAACCACUAAAUUCGUUGUAUGAAAUUGUAUUGCAAAUCAGCAAUCGGAAAGGGAAUAAGAAAUUAUGUUAUUAUUUUUAGAAGCAUUACUGUAGUAUGUGCUUUUACUGAUCGAGACGUUUUCCUAUAAAUACAAUGAUAGAGCAAUUUAGAAAUAAGACACAUUUAUUAUUCAGUAUUGGUUAUCGGAUAUUUUUAUAUUUGUUAUUGAUUUUAAGUGACAUAUUGAUGAAUUAUCAUUAUAAGAUCGCAAAAAAUUGUGAUUACCAUUGAUUGCUGAAUAUAGUGGAAGAAUGGAUCAAGUUAAUACAACAAUAAAUCUUAAUUCGUAGUU